UACGGAGGGUGCAAGCGUUAUCCGGAUUUACUGGGUUUAAAGGGUGCGCAGGCGGAUAUGUAAGUCAGUGGUGAAAUCUCUAGGCUUAACCUGGAAAUUGCCGUUGAUACUAUAUAUCUUGAAUGCUGUGGAGGUAAGCGGAAUAUGUCAUGUAGCGGUGAAAUGCUUAGAUAUGACAUAGAACACCUAUUGCGAAGGCAGCUUACUACGCAGAUAUUGACGCUCAUGCACGAAAGCGU
rnacentral:rRNA from 1 species